rnacentral:rRNA from 1 species
UACGGAGGGUGCGAGCGUUGUCCGGAAUCACUGGGCGUAAAGGGCGCGUAGGCGGUGCGGUAAGCGUGCGGUGAAAGCUCGGGCUCAACCCGAGUCGGCCGUGCGAACUGCGGACUGGAGCAUGUCGAGAGGCGGGUGGAAUUCCGGGUGUAGCGGUGGAAUGCGUAGAGAUCGGAAGAACACGGUGGCGAAGGCGGCCCGCUGGGACGAUGAGCUGGACGCUGAGGCGCGACAGCGGUGGG